UACGGAGGGAGCUAGCGUUGUUCGGAAUCACUGGGCGUAAAGGGUGCGUAGGCGGGUCUUUAAGUCAGGGGUGAAAUCCUGGAGCUCAACUCCAGAACUGCCUUUGAUACUGAAGAUCUUGAGUUCGGGAGAGGUGAGUGGAACUGCGAGUGUAGAGGUGAAAUUCGUAGAUAUUCGCAAGAACACCAGUGGCGAAGGCGGCUCACUGGCCCGGUACUGACGCUGAGGUGCGAAAGCGUGGGGAGCAAACAGG
rnacentral:rRNA from 1 species